rnacentral:rRNA from 1 species
GAUGAACGCUGGCGGCGUGCUUAACACAUGCAAGUCGAACGAAGCAUUUGCGACAGAUUUUUUCGGAAUGAAGUUGCUUAUGACUGAGUGGCGGACGGGUGAGUAACGCGUGGGUAACCUGCCUUGUACUGGGGGAUAGCAGCUGGAAACGGCUGGUAAUACCGCAUAAGCGCACAAUGUUGCAUGACAUGGUGUGAAAAACUCCGGUGGUAUAAGAUGGACCCGCGUCUGAUUAGCUAGUUGGUGAGAUAACAGCCCACCAAGGCGACGAUCAGUAGCCGACCGGGGGGGGUGACCGGCCACAGUGGGACUGAGACACGGCCCAGACUCCUACGGGAGGCAGCAGUGGGGAAUAUUGCACAAUGGAGGAAACUCUGAUGCAGCGACGCCGCGUGAGUGAAGAAGUAAUUCGUUAUGUAAAGCUCUAUCAGCAGGGAAGAUAGUGACGGUACCUGACAAAGAAGCUCCGGCUAAAUACGUG